rnacentral:rRNA from 2 species
UAUGAUGUUAGGUGCUUGCAUUUAACUGAUUUAACAUUGAGACGAGUGGCGAACUGGUGAGUAACACGUGGGUAACCUGCCCUGAAGUGGGGGAUAACACUUGGAAACAGGUGCUAAUACCGCAUAACAACGAAAACCACAUGGUUUUCGUUUGAAAGAUGGCUUCGGCUGUCACUUUUGGAUGGACCCGCGGCGUAUUAGCUUGUUGGUGAGGUAACGGCUCACCAAGGCCAUGAUACGUAGCCGACCUGAGAGGGUAAUCGGCCACAUUGGGACUGAGACACGGCCCAAACUCCUACGGGAGGCAGCAGUAGGGAAUCUUCCACAAUGGACGAAAGUCUGAUGGAGCAACGCCGCGUGAGUGAUGAAGGGUUUCGGCUCGUAAAACUCUGUUGUUGGAGAAGAACAGGUGAUAGAGUAACUGUUAUCAUCUUGACGGUAUCCAACCAGAAAGCCACGGCUAACUACGUGCCAGCAGCCGCGGUAAUACGUAGGUGGCAAGCGUUGUCCGGAUUUAUUGGGCGUAAAGCGAGCGCAGGCGGUUUUUUAGGUCUGAUGUGAAAGCCUUCGGCUUAACCGGAGAAGGGCAUCGGAAACCGGGAGACUUGAGUGCAGAAGAGGACAGUGGAACUCCAUGUGUAGCGGUGAAAUGCGUAGAUAUAUGGAAGAACACCAGUGGCGAAAGCGGCUGUCUGGUCUGUAACUGACGCUGAGGCUCGAAAGCAUGGGUAGCGAACAGGAUUAG